UACGUAGGGGGCAAGCGUUGUCCGGAAUCAUUGGGCGUAAAGAGCGUGUAGGCGGUCCGGUAAGUCGGCUGUGAAAGUCCAGGGCUCAACCCUGGGAUGCCGGUCGAUACUGCCGGACUAGAGUUCGGAAGAGGCGAGUGGAAUUCCCGGUGUAGCGGUGAAAUGCGCAGAUAUCAGGAAGAACACCCGUGGCGGAAGGCGGCUCUCUGGGACGGUACUGGACGCUGAGACGCGAAAGCGUGGGGAG
rnacentral:rRNA from 1 species